AUGCCUCAUAGCCAAGAACAAAACAAAACAAAAAAACAAGAAAUGAGAAUUGAUUGCCACGGAAGUCGCUUCCCGGAAGCCAGCCUGCAGGGAGCCAUGCAACCCACCACAGGCCCCACAGGAUGCUGGGGAAGGCAGGGUUGGUUUGUUUCCCAGUCAGUUUCACUCCCUGGCCCGCACCCUCCUACCCAGAGCACUUGGCUUUCUGGGUUACUCCUUCUGCAGCUGCUUUCAUUUAUUUCGGGACCAGUUUUAUUGUCUCUGCUUUACUCAUGACUUUGUCUUGCCUUCUUCUUUUUGGGGCUUGAAUUUAGACGAGAGAUGAGGGCAAAGGGUACUGAAUCCCAAACCCAAAUCCCGUUUGAUGUAUUCCUUCAUUUGUUUAUUUUCCUCUCAACAAUAGUUGAGCAAGAAGGAAGGUUGAUAGGAGGACCAAAGUGUGGGUUUUGAAAACCAUUAGUGAGUUUUAAGGAGGCAGGCCACCAUGGUGACUCUAGACAACGGAGCACUGGCUGUUUAGGGCAGUUCUUAAGCACUGAGCAUUACCUAUUUAGAAAUGUCUCUUGGGUUGUUUAUCAAGGUGUGUGACUGAGGGUGAGGAAUGGAGAAAUCAGAACGAGAGGGAGAGCAACCAUCGUCCAUUUGAAAUCUUGUGAACCAGCUGUUCUAAAGUUAAUAAAACCCCCAAAAGCCUCA
rnacentral:lncRNA from 1 species